GACGAACCGUGCGAACGUUGUUCGGAAUCACUGGGCUUAAAGGGCGCGUAGGCGGCUCCGCCAGUCUCGGGUGAAAUCUUCCGGCCCAACCGGAAAACGGCCCGGGAUACUGCGGGGCUCGAGCGAGGCAGGGGCGGGGGGAACUUCCGGUGGAGCGGUGAAAUGCGUUGAUAUCGGAAGGAACGCCGGUGGCGAAAGCGCCCCGCUGGGCCUCUCCUGACGCUGAGGCGCGAAAGCCAGGGGAGCGAACAGG
rnacentral:rRNA from 1 species